rnacentral:piRNA from 1 species
UACUCCAUCAUGUUCCUCAAGCUUUAUUC